rnacentral:lncRNA from 1 species
GAGGAGGAGGAGGAGGAGGAGGAGGAGGGGGAAGUUUAUGGCCGAAAGGGCGGGGGGAGGCUGCCGGCAGGGCGCUGGGAUUGAUGUGUCUGGGUCGGGGGAGGGAGCGGCCGCACGAAAGUCGGUCGGCCCCGGUGUCAGCUCGGGACAGGCCGCCUGGUGCGCCCCGGAGGGUCAACCUCACUUUGGCUGGCUUGUCUUCUUGAUUUCUUCAUUGGUGGUGCUAAAGAGAGUUGAUGAGACAGGAAGAAAGCAGCAGGGAUUGCUGAGUCUGAACAUCACUUCUGCUAAGCUUGGAGCAGCACUGAAGCUAUUUUAAACAAGAACAUGAGUUGAUUACAUAAGAUUCAGGGUGGAUGGAUAGCGGCAGAGCUGUUGGACCCUGCUGCACGACACUAUUGGCUUACAGACUUUUCUGUCCAGGCAGUCCCUUUUUCCUGGGAAAGGACAGAAACUGCCAAUUCUACGGCACCCUCCUUUGCCAACAAAUGGUCCCUUAUUGAAACUGGAGCUGCCAUGACUGCAGGCAGGGGAAGAGGAUGCUGCGGGCACGAAGCUGGUCUGGAAGAUGGGAGAAUGCCCAUAUUUUGGUCCAGGCCCUGGGGAUGCUGAGGCUGUAUUGCCCUGACUUUGUCACAUUCCUUUAUUUCUGUGGGGACCUGCAAACCCAAUUUGUCAAUCACAAUGCAGUAUACUAGCAGCUUAUUUUGUAUUCAACCAGUAGGAAUUAUUUACAGAUAAUUCUCCUUUGUCCACAUAUCAUUUAGAGAAACGCUUGGUGUGUAUAUACCUGUCAACCAGACUUCUUUAUUUAUAUUGCCAUAUGUAAAAUAUAUACAUAUUGCCAACAUAGUUAUGUUGCUCAUUGACACACAUUAAGCACUACAGAGGUACAAAAUCACAACAUGUCGUGAUGCAUAUUUAAAUAUAUUGUUUAUCUUAUUCUUCAGGGUAACAGGUUAUUUAUCUUGUUUCGUGUAUUCAGUUAUAUAUUAUUGCUCAAAACCAUGCAAAAUGAAAAAAAAACAACAAAAAAGAGCAAAUGAAAAGACAAAGUCUUUUGUACAAGAAGCUCACAAAUUAAAUUUAGAUUGAGGUGAUGAAUUAGGACAACAAACAGAAGUGGGGCAGUAGGAUAAGGAAGGACAAGGGUUACAGAAAUAAGAUUACAUGCAAUCCAUGCAGUAUGCUCUAAUACAGUUCUUUAUGCCCUGCUCUAGCCAGAUGCUGCAGAGAAGUGGCCAAAGAUUAGCUCUCAGGGGCAGGCAACCGUCUUUGUGGUGUUUGUUUUUAUAGUGCUUAGUUCAAUGGGACACUAAUCCCC